rnacentral:misc_RNA from 1 species
GUGAAUCAUCGAAUCUUUGAACGCAAAAUGCACUUUCUGGUAUUCCGGAAAGCAUGCCUGUUUGAGGGUCAGUUAAAUCAAAAUCCGUGUUGUUGCUGCUGUUCGUGGUGACGCGUCGGAAUUGAGUUGUCUUACCUUCGGUUAAGUUACUUAAGGUUUUGCAUGAGUUUCGCUCGUAUUUAAAUUUCAUACGUACGUUUGAGAUGUCGAAUACUUUAUUAGGUUCAGUCAUCCUCAUGUUUCGCACCUAUAAUUUUUCAUUAGAUGACCUCAAAUCAGGUAAGAAUACCCGCUGAACUUA